AUUGAACGCUGGCGGCAGGCUUAACACAUGCAAGUCGAGCGGGGGAAGGUAGCUUGCUACCGGACCUAGCGGCGGACGGGUGAGUAAUGCUUAGGAAUCUGCCUAUUAGUGGGGGACAACAUCUCGAAAGGGAUGCUAAUACCGCAUACGUCCUACGGGAGAAAGCAGGGGAUCUUCGGACCUUGCGCUAAUAGAUGAGCCUAAGUCGGAUUAGCUAGUUGGGGGGGUAAAGGCCUACCAAGGCGACGAUCUGUAGCGGGUCGGAGAGGAUGGUCCGCCACACUGGGGCUGAGACAAGGCCCAGACUCCUACGGGAGGCAGCAGUGGGGAAUAUUGGACAAUGGGGGGAACCCUGAUCCAGCCAUGCCGCGUGUGUGAAGAAGGCCUUAUGGUUGUAAAGCACUUUAAGCGAGGAGGAGGCUACUCUAGUUAAUACCUAGGGAUAGUGGACGUUACUCGCAGAAUAAGCACCGGCUAACUCUGUGCCAGCCGCCGCCGUAA
rnacentral:rRNA from 1 species